GGAGGAUCCAAGCGUUAUCCGGAAUCAUUGGGUUUAAAGGGUCCGUAGGCGGUUAGAUAAGUCAGUGGUGAAAGCCCAUCGCUCAACGGUGGAACGGCCAUUGAUACUGUUUAACUUGAAUUAUUAGGAAGUAACUAGAAUAUGUAGUGUAGCGGUGAAAUGCUUAGAGAUUACAUGGAAUACCAAUUGCGAAGGCAGGUUACUACUAAUGGAUUGACGCUGAUGGACGAAAGCGUGGGUAGCGAAC
rnacentral:rRNA from 1 species